rnacentral:rRNA from 1 species
GACGAACGCUGGCGGCGUGCCUAACACAUGCAAGUCGAGGGGCAGCGGGGGUAGCAAUACCCGCCGGCGACCGGCGCACGGGUGAGUAACGCGUAUGCAACUUGCCUAUCAGAGGGGGAUAACCCGGCGAAAGUCGGACUAAUACCGCAUGAAGCAGGGGCCCCGCAUGGGGAUAUUUGCUAAAGAUUCAUCGCUGAUAGAUAGGCAUGCGUUCCAUUAGGCAGUUGGCGGGGUAACGGCCCACCAAACCGACGAUGGAUAGGGGUUCUGAGAGGAAGGUCCCCCACAUUGGUACUGAGACACGGACCAA